AAGAGACAGCAGUAGCCGCGGUAAUACAGAGGGUGCGAGCGUUAAUCGGAUUUACUGGGCGUAAAGCGUGCGUAGGCGGCUUCUUAAGUCGGAUGUGAAAUCCCUGAGCUUAACUUAGGAAUUGCAUUCGAUACUGGGAAGCUAGAGUAUGGGAGAGGAUGGUAGAAUUCCAGGUGUAGCGGUGAAAUGCGUAGAGAUCUGGAGGAAUACCGAUGGCGAAGGCAGCCAUCUGGCCUAAUACUGACGCUGAGGUACGAAAGCAUGGGGAGCAAACAGGAUUAGAUACCCCUGUAGUCCCUGUCUCUUAUAC
rnacentral:rRNA from 1 species